AGGGUGUACGGUGGAUGCCUUGGCACCAGAAGGCGAUGAAGGGCGUGGUUAACUGCGAUAAUCCUUGGGGAGCCGUAAGCAGGCUUUGAUCCAGGGGUACCCGAAUGGGGAAACCUACCAUAGCAAACCUAUGGUAUCCUUACCUGAAUAAAAUAGGGUAAGGAGGCAAGACGGGGGGAACUGAAACAUCUAAUUACCCCCAGGAAGAGAAAGUAAUAACGAUUCCCCAAGUAGCGGUGAGCGAAAAGGGAAGAGCCUAAACGGUAAUGAGCGUGAUAGUCGGUAGACGUUGCUUAUUGCCGGGUCGUGGGACCUGAUACGAUUCUGCUACCGCAGGAUUAAAAGAGUUAACAAGUUUUUUUCUAGCCGAAAUGACAUUGGAAAAGUCUACCCUAGAUGGUGAUAGUCCAGUAGGCGAAAGGGAAAGACCUCUUUCAUCAGGCACCCGAGUAUCAUGGGAUAAGGGAAGCCCUGUGAGAAUUUAGGAGGACCACCUCCUAAGGCUAAAUACUAACUGGUGACCGAUAGUGAACUAGUACCGUGAGGGAAAGGUGAAAAGUACCCCGGGAGGGGAGUGAAAUAGUACCUGAAACCGUAUACCUACAAGCAGUGGGAGCACUAUUUUUUAAGAUUUAUCUUACAAAAGUGUGACCGCGUGCCUUUUGUAAAAUGAGCCGGCGAGUUACGAUAUCUAGCUAGGUUAAGCAGCAGCUGCUGCGGAGCCGCAGCGAAAGCGAGUCUGAAUUAGGGCGAUUUUAGUUAGGUGGCGUAGACCCGAAACCGAGUGAUCUAACCAUGGCCAGGGUGAAGCAGGUCUGAUCGCCUGUGAAGGCCCGAACCCACUUAUGUUGAAAAAUGAGGGGAUGAGCUGUGGUUAGGGGUGAAAGACCAAUCAAACUCGGAGAUAGCUGGUUCUCCUCGAAAUAGCUUUAGGGCUAGCCUCAAAUGUUUGCCUAUGGAGGUAGAGCACUGAAUGGACUAAGGGCCCCACCAGGUUACUGAACCCAAUCAAACUCCGAAUGCCAUAGGUUUAUAGUUUGGGAGUCAGACUGCGGGGGAUAAGCUUCGUAGUCGAAAGGGAAACAGCCCAGACCAGCAGCUAAGGUCCCCAAGUGCAAGCUAAGUGUGAAAGGAAGUAGAAUUACCGAGACAGCCAGGAUGUUGGCUCAGAGGCAGCCAUCAUUUAAAAAGUGCGUAACAGCUUACUGGUCAAGUGAUUCUGCACCGAAAAAUGUACGGGGCUAAAGUUUGCCACCGAAGCUCUGGAUCCAGAAUUUAUUCUGGGUGGUAGAGGAGCGUUCCUUUACAGGAUGAAGGGUAACCGUAAGGAUGCCUGGACUAAAAGGAAGUGAGAAUGCCGGCAUUAGUAACGAUAAGGAGAGUGAGAAUCUCUCCCGCCGAAAACCUAAGGUUUCCUGGGGAAGGUAAAUCCGCCCAGGGUUAGUCGGAACCUAAGCCGAGGCCGAAAGGCGUAGGUGAUGGACAACCGGUCAACAUUCCGGUACUACCAGAUUAUCGCUUUAAGUGAUGGGGGGACGCAGGAAGGUAGGUCAGCACGAUAAAAGUUACGUGUCCAAGCCUGAUAUGGGAGAAGAUAGGAAAAUCCGUCUUCUAUUAAAACCCUAAGAGGUGAUAGGGAGCUGCUAUUGCAGCGAACUGAUCGAUCCUACACUGCCAAGAAAAGCCUCUAAACAAGAUAACCUGGUAUCCGUACUAAAACCGACACAGGUAGGUAGGUAGAGAAUACCAAGGCGCUCGAGAGAACCCUCGUUAAGGAACUCGGCAAAAUGACUCCGUAACUUCGGGAGAAGGAGUGCCCCGGUAGGGUGAGCUGAUUUACUCAAACAAGCCCGAGGGGGCUGCAAAGAAACGGCCCAAGCGACUGUUUACUAAAAACACAGGUCUCUGCUAAAUCGAAAGAUGAUGUAUAGGGACUGACGCCUGCCCGGUGCUGGAAGGUUAAGGAAGGGGGUUACUCCUCGUAAGAGGGGGAAGCUCUUGACCGAAGCCCCAGUAAACGGCGGCCGUAACUAUAACGGUCCUAAGGUAGCGAAAUUCCUUGUCGGGUAAGUUCCGACCCGCACGAAUGGCGUAACGAUUUGGGCACUGUCUCAACGAGGAGCUCGGCGAAACUGUAGUAGCGGUGAAGAUGCCGCUUACCCGCGACUGGACAGAAAGACCCCGUGGACCUUUACUGUAGCUUGGCAUUGCGUUUUGGCAAUGCAUGUGUAGGAUAGGUGGUAGGCUGUGAAAGAGGGGCGUUAGCCUCUCUGGAGCCAUCCUUGAAAUACCACCCUUGGUAUGUUGGGGUUCUAACCUUUCG
rnacentral:rRNA from 1 species